UACGUAGGGGGCGAGCGUUGUCCGGAUUUACUGGGCGUAAAGAGCGCGCAGGCGGCUGUUCAAGUCCGAUGUGAAAGCUCCCGGCUUAACUGGGAAAUUGCAUCGGAAACUGAUCGGCUGGAAGGUGGGAGAGGGUAGCGGAAUUCCCGGUGUAGUGGUGAAAUGCGUAGAUAUCGGGAGGAACACCAGUGGCGAAAGCGGCAACCUGGCCCAUUAUUGACGCUGAGGCGCGAAAGCUAGGGGAGCAAACGGG
rnacentral:rRNA from 1 species